rnacentral:rRNA from 1 species
CGUUCCCGGGUCUUGUACACACCGCCCGUCACACCAUGGGAGCGGGUUCUGCCAGAAGUAGUUAGCCUAACCGUAAGGGGGCGAUUACCACGGCAGGGUUCGUGACUGGGGUG